CUUCACUUCAUUUCCAGUCUGAGGCUUCAAUCAGGACUACACGGACCACUAGCUAUGUAUUCACAAAAGAGAGUGAAAAAAUAUAUGUAUCUUUCUCACACCAUUUUUUGAAGGGGGGACUACUUCUUUAUUUAAACCUUGGUCUGGAAUGGAAGUGUAGGGGCAGAGCUGAGGGCCCUGCAUUUAAGACUUUGGGAUUAAACUGCUUGUUAAUUUUUUAAUCCCUGUAGACAAAUCAGCUCCCGGGAUUUUAUCGAACCAUUGCAACUUAAAUCCGAUGAAUUGCGCUCGGUUAUAGAUGGCAAGUUUUUCAGUUGCAAUCAUGGGUGCUUUUUAACAAAAUAUCCGUAUAAUGUCCAAAUCAAGUUAAAGUAUGUUCUUUAACCCUUUAAGGACCAAACUUCUCGAAUAAAAGGGAAUCCUGACAUGUCAUGUGUCCUUAAGGGGUUAAAUACAUAUAGCAAAUACAAAAAGAUAAGUCCUGCG